CCGUGCUAGACGGGGAGGUAGCGGAUCCUUGUAGCCCGCAAUCCGCUAUAGCGGGGGUUAAUUCCUUUGAUGAGGGUCGGGCAGUCGGAGCAGUCCGUGUGAUUGGCGUGAUGAUUUUUUGGUCUUGCGCAACGGAACGCUUUGAACCGUGUCAGGUCCUGACGGAAGCAGCACUAAGAGGUUUGUUCCGUGUGCCGCGAGGCGGCCCGAAAUGAGCAUCAAUCCAAGGGUAACGUCCGGAGGCUGAGAUUCGAAUCAAAGGUGCACGG
rnacentral:SRP_RNA from 1 species